GGAGCUGUGUGGCUUCAUGGUAGAGCAUCAGCUCAGCAUGCAGAAGGUCCCAGGUUCAAUCACCAGCAUCUUCA
rnacentral:tRNA from 1 species